CAUUAGCCAUGUAGCUGGAAGCGCCACAGUGGGCGCUUCUACAAUGCUAUUAAGCCCUGCUGGAUGACUGCUGUGCAGUUGAAGGAAGUCGUCGUAUGAUCUGUGCUCGGCACCAUUAAUAAUGGAUGCGAACCAUUAAGAUGUUAAUGUACCUGGAGACUUCGGACCACACAUCUUGCUCAAGGAAUCCAGAGCAGUUGGCAAGAAGGUGGCGGGAACAGAACCAGCAACCCCAGCUUUACCCUGACGACUUGCUGUAGGCCCAACCACUGAUCUACUACUGCGGGCUCUGACACCUGGCUCGGCUCUCCUGCCCGCAGCCCGACGGAGAGAGAGAAGAGGGCUGGCAGUUGCGCUGGAAAUCUGCAAAGCGGGAUCUGAAGAGAAAUGCCCGGGCAUAAAUGGCAAGACUUUUACUUUGAAGGCCUGGUUCGUUUCAGUGUUGGGCAAGCUAGACAGCUAGACAGCUAGACAAUUUCAUAAAUUGA